AUAGGCUUCAGUGUCGAUCACACACACAGAUUGAGAGGAAUACAGAGAAACAGCAGGUGGAGCCCGGAGCUCACGAAUGAAAUAUCAUAUAAAGCCGCUGGCAGAGGCGGGAUUUAUAUUCAAGCCAUUCAGCAAGCUCAUUGGCUACCAGGCCUGUCAAUCUAACGGUUCCUCCGGCGUGAUUUGCUGAGAAACAAGUCAAUCAAGUGAUGUAAUCGAUAUCUGUCAGACUCGGCCAUGGUUGGCUAAAUCGCCGAAGUAGGCGGAAACGAGUCACCUGAUUGGUUGAAGUUCGGUUUGAAACGGAGGAGAAGUCUCCAGUAUCCAUUUUGAAUCGCGAACAAAGGGAAUUUGACCGUGUAUGAUAAAGUUAUAAUAGAAAGAUGCAGUGAAUAUGAAACGCACAGCGCCACCACGCGCCGCGUGCACGCGCACGGAGCCGAUCGUUUUCUGGAUUUUUUUACCUAUUUCGAGACAUGUUUUGGCCAAAGUAUUAUACUGGAUUGUUUCCUCUGGAUGGCUAAGCUUGGGUUCUGGCCGGUUUUUGUGGAUUAUCUUCUUUUAUGACCAGAAACGAGCGUCCAAACUGCGUCGACAGGUGAGCUGUGCACGUUUACAUGACUUGUUGUUUGUUGGAUAAAUGUGUUUAUAUUACCCGCUGUGGUAAUCACAUCUGAAAGUGGUUUAUACCGGUGGAUUCAUGAGAAUCUCAGCUUUCUAUGUGUGUAUAGUGUUUGUAUAAUCGUGUUUGCAGUGUCCUUCUAUUUUAAAAAAAGCGUAUACCGAUAAAAAAACGGCCCAGGUUAAGGGGGGAGUACACCUUAUUUCACAGGUUCGCAAAGCCAUUAUAUUGUAUAGGCUCUUAACAAUGUUUGAUACGACCCAAUUUAACAUGCUAUACAUCAUUUUAAAGCUUAUGAGUUGCAAAUUAUCAUUUUAACAGAAGUUACAUGCAGUGAUCCCUGGGGACAAAAUCUUGUCAUAAACAUGCCAAUACACAUUUCCAGGUGACCCAUCUUUAGAUGCUAUCUACUCAGAGUCCAUAAAUUUUGGGUUAAUGACUAUUAUACCUUUUGAUAGAGUAACCUACUGUAAAAAAUAAUGGGUGCUUUGAGGAUAACUCUUUUUCUUGUUGCCACAGCAGCCAUUUCAAUAUAAAUAACUCUUUACCCCAUAAUGAAAAUGGUCUUAAGUGGUCAGAUUAUAAAUUAUUUUUAAAAAGCAUCCAUUAUUUUAAGAAGUACUGUCUUAAGAACAAUCUGUGAAAAAAUCAGCAUGAUUGCUCAAAUAGUUUAAAAGUUAUUCGGUUUUAUGCAACGCCUGUCCCAAAAAAUACAGGUUUUGAAAAAAUGGCAGAUAAAGAUUGUGAACCAUGCACAAGUACUUGCCAAGCUGUUGUAUGUCACUAACUAAACAUUUCUUUGAUACCUAAUGAAUAGUUUAAGCACUUAACAUUUUUUUAUAUUUUUUGAAGGCAUAUAAGGUGUACUCCCCCCUUAAACUAAAAGCAAAGAAAUGUCACCUGGCCCAGACCGACGUGACUUUUCUUGGACAUGUUGUCUCCAGCCAUAGACUCCAGCCAGAUGUGAAGAACCUGGAAAAGGUACACAAGUGGCCAACUCCCAGAACUGUCACGGAAGUGAGAGCAUUUGUUGGACUGUGCUCCUACUAUCAUAGGCAGUUCCUUUCAUUGUGGUCACAGAUCACAAGCCCCUACUGAGCCUGAAGAAAACCCCAGUGGACAACGACCCCACAGGCAGACGCAGUAGAUGGAGCCUUGAACUGGACAUCUAUGACUACACUAUCACACAUCGGGAAGGUAGACAGCAUGCUAAAUCCUGACGCCUUGUCCAGACAUCCCAGUACAGACAAUAUUGACAGAACUGAACAUUGUGUUGCUGUAGCUGUCACUGACACACAACAGCCUAAAUCAGGACAUCAGCAGUACACCGUCUAUCGACACUGAACACUUAAAACAACAGCAACAGCAUAAUGAGUCUCAGUACAGUCAUUUCCUGGGUAAAAGACAGUGAAAGUAGGCCCCCUAUUGGUAAACUGAGGAAAUCCUCCCCUUCAUUGAGAAAACUGUGGCACGAGUAUCCCAACCUUACCAUUUGACAUGGGAUCCUUUGUAGAAAAACUAAACGGAGUCCCCACUCACCUGUGAACUUCCAAGUUGUUCUACCAAAAGUACUUGUCCCCACAGCUUUAGCUGCUUUACAUGGGAAUCAGUUAAGUGGACAUUUAAAUGCCGAGCGUACACUUCAGAGGGCUAGACGUAUCUUUUGCUGGCCUUACAUUGCUCAGGACAUGCACACUUUUUGCACUGAGUGCCUCCCAUGUCAAAAAUGAGGUUCUCCUGUACCCCAUGAAUGUGCACCGCUUCAGCCUAUCCAAACAGACAAACCCUUUCAGAAAGUUGCUGCUAUCACUGAGUUACCUGUUACAUCUCAGGGAAAUAGGUAUGCAUUAUUCAUUACAGACUAUUUUACAUGCUAUGCAAAUCUGUUUCCAAUGAAAGACCAACAUUACAGUAGCAAAGAUUAUUUUUGAGGACUGUCAGACAACAUGGUGUGCCUGAGUCAAUUCACACAGACCAGGGUAGACAGUUUGAAUCGGACCUUGUCAAACGCCUGUGUCAGUUGCUGGGGAUAACCAAAACACGCACCACCCCAUACCAUGCUCAAUCAGAUGGCAUGGUGGAGAGACUGAACAGGACUCUGAAAGACCAACUGGCUAAGUACAUAGCACAAACUGGUGGUGAAUGGGAUCAGUUUCUUCUGCAAGCAGAACUUGCAUAUAACUCGAGUGUACAUUCCAGCACAGGAUUUUCCCACUGUCAUGUUGUGCUUUUUGCACACCCUUUUCAGAUAUUUCAUUGAAAUGUGGACAUUUCAUCUGUGACAAAGGAAGACUGUAAUGUUGGAUUUAUGUUUGAUUAUGUUAAUUUACAUUUACUUUAUUUUAUUUAUCAUUUUGAUGUUUAUGUCGUGUCUUGAAUUUUAUUUCAUAGAUUAUUUGAAUUAUUUGACAGCUUAUUGUUUUGUGUUUCCUCAUUGCCAUGUUUAGUUGGUUCCGGUUUUGUUAUGUUUCUGGUACGACUGCUUUGGAGUGAGACACAGAGGGUGAGCGCGUGUCGGCAUAGAUAUGAAGAGUAGAUAUGACACGUCUCUCAGAGCAGCGUGCCUACAGAGACACUAAGUGGGGCUUAAUGUGUGGGCUAAAUUUCAGUAUUUUCCAUUGGUGUGCACGGGGCGAAAACUAAAACAAGAAGAAUGCCGGCUCAUUGCACUGCAUUUCACUGCACACUACGUUGAACGAUGGAGACAAGGAAAGUUGGAAUAACUUUCCAUAGGAAAGGAAAUUAAAUCUUGUUGAGAGUCUAUGAGAGCUAACUAGCAAAACACUAACACGGGCUAACAGCUGGACAACCAAACACCAGCCGACUAUUAGUAGCUGUAGUAUAGCUGUACAAGCAGUAGUAGUAAUACUAAAAAUACAAGCAGUAGUAGUAGUAUAAGUAGCUGUUAGAGUCAAAGAAGUAGUAUCGGCAUGUGUACUAGUAUUACAAGUUGUAGUAGCAGUGACAUUAUGAGCAGCAGUAGUUGGUGUAUUACCACUACUACUAGUAGUAGUAGUAAUAAUAAUAAUACAUCAAAUUUAUUUAGUGCUUUUUAGGACACUCAAAGACACUUUACAAGACAGACAGAUAAGCAGACAGAUAAUAUUCGCAUUACUAUUAAUACCACUAAUACUACCAACAGUAGUUAUGAACCCUAACUCAUAUAUAUCCAGAUUAGCAUCUAUGUUAUUCCUCCAAACCCAUUUUAUGAUUGAGAUUACAGGCAAUUCUUUAGGACUGCUCUCAAAUAAUUGAAAUGUUACUAAACAAGGUUAUACUAAAUUAAAUAACUCUGGUCUCCAGUGUAUUGGAUAAUUCAGUUCUUUGAAAUUAAUUUAUUAGCAUAUUUUCUUCUUAAAUAUGUAGUUGUGUACAUACUUAUUUACUUCUCUGUCUACUUUUUUUUUUACUCCAUGUAGGUUUCCCAAAGACUAUGGAUUGAGGAAGAAGUGGGAAACAGCUCUGAGGAGAGAGGGCUUUGCUGCAACUAUAUAGCAGCCUAGAGAGAGAGAGAGAUAAAUAAAUAAUAAUUAAGAGUAUUAAUAAUUCUGUUGAUUAUUGUAAUUGUGUUGUUUAUUGUAAAUGUAAAUAAACUCUAUCCUGUUCUAGUCUAGUUCUCUGUUAUAUGUAUAUAACUGCCUAUAUAUAUAUAAUUAAUAUUAAUAAAUAAAUAAAUUACAUUUGCAAUUCAA